rnacentral:rRNA from 1 species
AUUGAACGCUGGCGGCAGGCCUAACACAAGCAAGUCGCAAGAGGGGCGGACGGGUGAGUCAUGUCUGGGAAACUGCCUGAUGGAGGGAGAUAAACACUGGAAACAGUAGCUAAUACCGAAUAACCUCAGAUGAGCCGAGAUGGGAUUAACAAGUUGGUGGGGUAACGGCUCACCAAGGCGCCUAUCCCUAGCUGGUCUGAGAGGCUGACCAUGCACACUGGAACUGAGACACGGUCCAGAUGCCGACGGGAGGCAGCAGGGGGGAAUAGUGCACGAUGGGCGCAAUCCUGAUGCAGCCAUGCCGCGUUUAUGAAGAAGGCCUUCGGGUUGUAAAGUACUUUCAGCGGGGAGGCGUUACCCGCAGAAGAAGCCCCGGCUAACUCCGUGCCAGCCGCCGCGGUAAUAC